rnacentral:rRNA from 1 species
GACGAACGCUGGCGGCGUGCUUAACACAUGCAAGUCGAACGGUAAGGCUCCAGCUUGCUGGGGUACACGAGUGGCGAACGGGUGAGUAACACGUGGGUGACCUGCCCUGCACUUCGGGAUAAGCCUGGGAAACUGGGUCUAAUACCGGAUAGGACCAUGGUGUGGAUACUGUGGUGGAAAGUUUUUUCGGUGUGGGAUGGGCCCGCGGCCUAUCAGCUUGUUGGUGGGUAAUGGCCUACCAAGGCGGCGACGGGUAGCCGGCCUGAGAGGGUGGACGGCCACAUUGGGACUGAGAGACGGCCCAGACUCCUACGGGAGGCAGCAGUGGGGAAUAUUGCACAAUGGGCGGAAGCCUGAUGCAGCGACGCCGCGUGGGGGAUGACGGCCUUCGGGUUGUAAACUCCUUUCACCAUCGACGAAGGGUUUCUGACGGUAGAUGGAGAAGAAGCACCGGCUAACUACGUG